ACGGGAGGCAGCAGUGGGGAAUAUUGCACAAUGGGGGAAACCCUGAUGCAGCGACGCCGCGUGAGUGAAGAAGUAUUUCGGUAUGUAAAGCUCUAUCAGCAGGGAAGAAAAUGACGGUACCUGACUAAGAAGCCCCGGCUAACUACGUGCCAGCAGCCGCGGUAAUACGUAUGGAGCAAGCGUUAUCCGGAUUUACUGGGUGUAAAGGGUGCGUAGGUGGCAGGGCAAGUCAGAUGUGAAAGACCGGGGCUCAACUCCGGGGCUGCAUUUGAAACUGUCUUGCUGGAGUGCAGGAGAGGUAAGCGGAAUUCCUAGUGUAGCGGUGAAAUGCGUAGAUAUUAGGAGGAACACCGGUGGCGAAGGCGGCUUACUGGACUGAAACUGACACUGAGGCACGAAAGCGUGGGGAGCAAACAGGAUUAGAUACCCUGGUA
rnacentral:rRNA from 1 species